rnacentral:rRNA from 1 species
AGCGCAGGCGGUUCUUUUAAGUCUAAUGUGAAAGCCUUCGGCUCAACCGAAGAAGUGCAUUAGGAAACUGGGAGACUUGAGUGCAGAAGAGGACAGUGGAACUCCAUGUGUAGCGGCGAAAUGCGUAGAUAUAUGGAAGAACACCAGUGGCGAAGGCGGCUGUCUGGUCUGCAACUGACGCUGAGGCUCAAAGCAUGGGUAGCGAACA